AGUGAACGCUGGCGGUAGGCCUAACACAUGCAAGUCGAACGGCAGCACAGUAAGAGCUUGCUCUUACGGGUGGCGAGUGGCGGACGGGUGAGGAAUACAUCGGAACCUACUUUUUCGUGGGGGAGAACGUAGGGAAACUUACGCUAAUACCGCAUACGACCUACGGGUGAAAGCAGGGGAUCUUCGGACCUUGCGCGAUUGAAUGAGCCGAUGUCGGAUUAGCUAGUUGGCGGGGUAAAGGCCCACCAAGGCGACGAUCCGUAGCUGGUCUGAGAGGAUGAUCAGCCACACUGGAACUGAGACACGGUCCAGACUCCUACGGGAGGCAGCAGUGGGGAAUAUUGGACAAUGGGCGCAAGCCUGAUCCAGCCAUACCGCGUGGGUGAAGAAGGCCUUCGGGUUGUAAAGCCCUUUUGUUGGGAAAGAAAAGCAGCAGGUUAAUACCCCGCUGUUCUGACGGUACCCAAAGAAUAAGCACCGGCUAACUUCGUG
rnacentral:rRNA from 1 species